rnacentral:rRNA from 1 species
GACGAACGCUGGCGGCGUGCUUAACACAUGCAAGUCGAACGGAAAGGCCCUGCUUUUGUGGGGUGCUCGAGUGGCGAACGGGUGAGUAACACGUGAGUAACCUGCCCUUGACUUUGGGAUAACUUCAGGAAACUGGGGCUAAUACCGGAUAGGAGCUCCUGCUGCAUGGUGGGGGUUGGAAAGUUUCGGCGGUUGGGGAUGGACUCGCGGCUUAUCAGCUUGUUGGUGGGGUAGUGGCUUACCAAGGCUUUGACGGGUAGCCGGCCUGAGAGGGUGACCGGGCACAUUGGGACUUGGGUACGGCCCAGGCUCCUACGGGAGGCAACAGGGGGGAAUAUUGCACAAUGGGCGGAAGCCUGAUGCAGCAACGCCGCGUGCGGGAUGACGGCCUUCGGGUUGUAAACCGCUUUCGCCUGUGACGAAGCGUGAGUGACGGUAAUGGGGAAAGAAGCACCGGCUAACUACGUGC